AUGAGAUGCAGACGUUGGACUGGAGAUUUGGAGAAGAGGGACUUUAACACUUGAUUUGAUGUACCAACGUUAAGUAACUAUUAGUUGUUGAGCUUUUUAUAACGCUACCAAGAUAGAAAGUAAGUUACAAAUAUAUAGUUUAAUGUUAUACAUAUGAUAUAUUAAAACGUUUUGUAGGGGUGUUAACUGUUCGGCUAGCUAUUUUCCGGUAACAUGCUGAGGAACAGUAACGGAUAGUGAGACAGGAGAGUCCAGGCACCAAAAGGAAAGUACUAUCUGGUGAAACAGUUUUCGCUGUGCUAUGGUUUUUGGUUAGUUAACUUCACCAUGUUUUUUUUUCUAAGCUGUGCUCGCAUUCUACACAGGGUGCAUUUCUUUAUAAUUUUUUCUAUAAGGGGUAGACAUGCUCGACAUGGCCUUCCAGGAUGAAAUCAAAGGCACUAGAUCUAAAUCUCCUCCAAUUGGAUGGCCUCCUCCUGCAUGACACCUUUGCUACAUGCUGCCUGAGCUACAUGCUACAUUGACACCUGAGCUUCCUCUAUGCUCGUGAGGACGACUCCUUCCGCCACCUGUCACCUGACAGACCACCUCCUGUAUGCUUGUGAGGAAGCCUCCUGCCACCUCUGUCACCUGACAGACCACUUCCUGCAGACCAUCUGAACUAAAUUCAGUAUCUGCUGCUUUCUCUGCUGGAGCUGGGUCGCCUUCACUCUCUUGUUCUCUCUGUCUUUCUCACCUGAAACUCCUACAUCUGCAUCCCUGUCCUCUCCUUCAAAAAUAGACAAUUUAAGACUUUAAUCCUGUUGAUAUAAAACAAUAACGAUGCAUCUUUAAUUGCUACUAACUUUGUGGUUGGCUUCUUUUUCCACUACGCCGUGCAUUUGUUGCAGAUUGAGGGGGUGGAUUCAUGCAAUGUAUUCUGGUAGGUACUGCCUCAGAGGACAGUGUCUUCCGUGAACUCUGUUGAAAGACAUUUUUACCCGAAAAUAUCAUGACUGAUUCUUUUUUUUUUGGACAAAGAUAAUAAUCAGAAUAAAACUCUUCGAAGUGCUCCUCGCACACAGCGUAACCCCCUUUCUUCAGGUCCUCAAAGGACUUCUGCAGACUGAUGUCCGUACGCCUGAUGUUUCUCAGCCACAUCUUCCUCCGGAGUAAUUACAAAUGUGUGUAAGGUUUAAUCUCACAUUUUAUUGAAUUCAGCUGGAUGUUGGUCUAUGCUUAAGGUUUCCUAUUUUAUAGUAAAUUUAGUAGUGUAGUGGUUGCAGAUAACCAUAAACUAUUAUGUCCUCUACCCCCGUUAUUGACCCUGAUUUUAGUUUUUUUUUAUAGUACUCAACAGUUAAUUUAAACAGCAGCCAUGUUGUUUUUUCUCUCUGUAUGUGUAAGAGGAGUGUGAUGUAGACUACAGAAGUCAGCAGAAAGGCAGCCUUUCUAGCUACUCCUGUGACCAGGACCCAAAUGAGGACCUGACAUUCUUACGGACCGUGUCCUGCUAUAGUUAGUAGUGUAUAUGGACUCACCCCUGUAGUCUGCAGACAUCUGGGGUCUACGUCACACUCCUCUUCAAUCAAAACUGACACUCCUCUGUAAGACACCGCCUUAACAACCAUCGCCUGAUUAGCAACACCCUCAAUAACGGAGAACAUAUUAUAGAAUAAAGACCCACACUUUAUCCUGUCCUAUGAAACAUUAUAAUAAAGACCCACACUUUAUUCUAUGAAACAUUUUCAGUUGCUGCCCUCUGAAACCUGAUAGAUCUUUUGAUGCUCUGCUCUAAUGCUACACAUGGUGUAUGUCUUUCUACUUGGACCAUUUUCCUAUUCAGGGGAUGCAUGCACAAUGUGUUCUUCCAGGUUGUGAUCAAAUGCUCUACUUUCAUGGUGUUUAUAUGUUCUAUUUUUUUCACCAUGUUAAAAGGCAUUUAAUAAAUGUACAGUGAGGUGCAAAAGUAUUCAUCCA